AAAUUGAAGAGUUUGAUCAUGGCUCAGAUUGAACGCUGGCGGCAGGCCUAACACAUGCAAGUCGAACGGUAACAGGAAGAAGCUUGCUUCUUUGCUGACGAGUGGCGGACGGGUGAGUAAUGUCUGGGGAACUGCCUGAUGGAGGGGGAUAACUACUGGAAACGGUAGCUAAUACCGCAUAACGUCGCAAGACCAAAGAGGGGGA
rnacentral:rRNA from 1 species